rnacentral:rRNA from 1 species
AUUGAACGCUGGCGGCAGGCCUAACACAUGCAAGUCGAACGAGUGGCGGACGGGUGAGUAAUGUCUGGGAAACUGCCUGAUGGAGGGGGAUAACUACUGGAAACGGUAGCUAAUACCGCAUACCAUCGGAUGUUCCCAGAUGGGAUUAGCUAGUAGGUGGGGUAACGGCUCACCUAGGCGAAGAUCCCUAGCUGGGCUGAGAGUAUGACCAGCCACACUGGAACUGAGACACGGGCCAGACUCCUACGGUAGGCAGCAGUGGGUAAGAUUGCAACAUGGGCGCAAGCCGGAUGCAGCCAUGCCGCGUGUAUGAAGAAGGCCUUCGGGUUGUAAAGUACUUGCAGCGGGGAGGCGUUACCCGCAGAAGAAGCACCGGCUAACUCCGUGCCAGCCGCCGCGGUAAUAC